rnacentral:snoRNA from 1 species
AAUCCAUGGUGUAGGUACUUCUGAAUCAGUAUCUUGAAACACUUCUAUGCUUCGUAAAGGCUUUCUCCUUCUGUCUGCUUGAAUUUCUUUUCUUAAUUGGACC